rnacentral:lncRNA from 1 species
GGGGACAGGAGCGGGACCAGCCUGGGGACAGCCCGGGGACAGGAGCGGGACAGGAGCGGGGACAGGAGCGGGGACAGCCUGGGGACAGCCUGGGGACAGGACCGGGACAGAAGCGGGACAGGAUCGGGGACAGCCCGGGGACAGGAGCGGGGCCAGCCUGGGGACAGCCUGGGGACAGGACCGGGACAGGAGCGGGACAGGAGCGGGGACAGCCCGGGGCCAGCCUGGGGACAGGAGCGGGACAGAAGCGGGACAGGAUCGGGGACAGCCCGGGGACAGGAGCGGGGACAGGGACAAGCCAGGCUCCGAUGCUCCAAGCGUUUAUUCACCCCUGGACACAGCGAGUCCGGGGUUCCCCCAGACCGGGAGGCCACAGGCCCGUGGGGUCCCCCGGGACGCUGCAGGGUCCCCCGGGACGCUGUGGGGUCCCCCGGGACAUUGUGGGGUUCCCCAGGACGCUGCAGGGUCCCCCAGGACGCUGCAGGGUCCCCCGGGACGCUGUGGGGUUCCCCAGGACGCUGUGGGGUCCCCCGGGACAUUGUGGGGUUCCCCAGGACGCUGUGGGGUCCCCCGGGACGCUGCAGGGUCCCCCGGGACGCUGGGGAGGUCCCUGCAGUUCUGGGGGUCCCCUGGAGGCUGCGGGGGUCCCUCCAUCCCCACUCGGGGGGACAGGGGGACACGGCCCUGCAAGCUCCCCAGUGCCAGGGGGGGUCUGGGGUCCCCGCGGGGUUCAGGGGGUCCCCACACCAUUGGGGGGUUGUGGGGUCCCUGCGUCCCCCUCUGUGGAGAGGCCAGUGAGGUCCCGCAGCCUCGUGGUGCCCCGGGGACUUUUGGGGGGUCCCUGCACCCCCAUUUCUGGGGGCUCUGGAGAUCCCCCUCCACUGUGGUGACCCGGGGGGGUUUGGGGGCUCCCCGCACCCCCAGUUCCGGGAGGGUUUCCGAGGUGCUCGCAGCCCCUGUGCUCGGGGGUUUGGGGCGCCCCCACGGCGGGGUGCCCCCACGGCGGGGUGCCUCCAUGGUGGGUGCCCCCACGGCGGGGUGCCCCCACGGCGGGGUGCCUCCAUGGUGGGUGCCCCCACGGCGGGGUGCCCCCACGGCGGGGUGCCCGUGCAGCAUCAGCAGCGCCGGUGUCGGGGGGCCGGAGGGGUCCCCGCAGGCUCCGGGCGGGGGGCACCGCCCCGGG